AUUCUACGACGUGCGCACGCAUGAGCAUGCAUGGUCGUUAGGCGCACUUGAAGCCCGUGGGGACGCCCUUGCCGCAGAAGUUGAGGACGAGGCUGAGGUUGACGGGGAUGUUGAGGUUCAGCCCCAGCACGUUGGCCUUGAUGGCGGUGCACAGGCACACGGCGGCGUCCAGCUCCACCAGCCCGUUCAGCAGCGGGCAGCACUUCUCGUCGACGGGGACGCCGGCCUUCGCCUUGAUCAGGUCCAGGACGUUGGCGCACACGCCCAGCUUCAGCGCGUUCGUCGGGCAGUGGCCGUACCACCCGCUCGUGCCGUCGUUGCCGCUGCCGCCGCCGCCGCUGCCUCCACCACCGAUGGGGCCGUACCCACCACCGCUGCCGCCGCCGAUGGGUACGAUGCCGCCGCCGAUGCCGCCUCCGAUGGGUCCGAUCCCACCGCUGCCACCGCCAAUCGGCCCUACCCCGCCGCCGUUGCCGCCGCCGCCGAUCGGGCCGUACCCACCGCCGUUGCCGCCGCUGCCACCACCGCCAUUGUUGCCUCCCCAGCCGCCGCCGCUGCUGCCGCUACCCGGCCCGCUGCCACCCCCGUAGCCGCCGCUGCCCCCGCCGCCAUGAUGGCCCCCGCUGCCACCGUGACCAUUGUUGCCCCCGCCGCAGUAAGGGCAGGCGUUGGUUACCACGAAGAGCACGAGGUUGAGGGCAAGGAAGAGGGCCGCCUUGGACGCCAUUGGUGACCCCAAGCAGCUAAGCCAAUACGCGGCGGCGGCUGCAAGUGUGUGAGUC
rnacentral:lncRNA from 1 species